rnacentral:rRNA from 1 species
CCUACGGGAGGCAGCAGUGGGGAAUUUUGCGCAAUGGGGGCAACCCUGACGCAGCAACGCCGCGUGAGUGAUGAAGGCCUUCGGGUCGUAAAGCUCUGUCAGAGGGGGAGAAAUGCAGGUGGUGAACAACCAUUCUGUUUGACGGUACCCUCAAAGGAAGCACCGGCUAACUCCGUGCCAGCAGCCGCGGUAAUACGGAGGGUGCGAGCGUUGUUCGGAAUUAUUGGGCGUAAAGCGCGUGUAGGCGGUUUUUUAAGUCUGAGGUAAAAGCCCCGGGCUCAACCUGGGAAGUGCAUUGGAUACUGGCAGACUUGAGUACGGGAGAGGGGAGUGGAAUUCCAGGUGUAGGGGUGAAAUCCGUAGAUAUUGGGAGGAACACCGGUGGCGAAGGCGGCUCUCGGGACCGAUACUGACGCUGAGGCGCGAAAGCGUGGGGAGCAAACAGGAUUAGAUACCCCUGUAGU